AAAACUAGCCAGCCCCAUGGGUAUGAAACCCAUUUGAGCGAGAGUAGUACUAGGAUGGGUGACCUCCUGGGAAGUCCUCGUGAAAGGGUUUC
rnacentral:rRNA from 1 species